AAGGAAGGAGUGAAGGUAAGGAAGGCGGAGAGGGAGAAGGGAAAACAGGUAGAGAACAGGGCGAUCAGCAACGUCCUGUCGGAGCGGCCGGCGCAUCCAGAUGCAAUUUGCAACUCGCUGGGGAAGGUGUGGAGUCCAAUCCGUGGGGUCGAGUGCAAGGAGCUGGGUGACAACGUAUUCCUGUUUACCUUCAAUCAGGAGAGGGAGAGGAGGAAAGCGUUGGAUGACGACCUGUGGAUGUUUGAUAAUGACUUGGUGGUGCUGGAGGAGUUCGUGCCGAGGAAGCGGAUUGAAGAUUAUGAGUUCAAGGAGAUCCCGAUCUGGAUUAGGGUAUAUGGGCUGCCAUUAGGGGACAUGGAUGAGGAUACGGGAGAG
rnacentral:rRNA from 1 species